UAAUUCUGUAGUACCCCAUAUUGUUGUUUUAGUAGAUCUGGUUGAGGGGGAAAGUGGUGCUUUGAAGAUAUAAGAAUUGUUGAAUGCUUAAUUUUGUGCAAUACAUGGUUAAACAUAAUACUAAUGUUAAAUUGACUAUUGAGAAGUGCGUAGAGACUUGGACUUAGGUUUGUCCUUAGUUCACUGUGACAAAAGUAAUGUAC
rnacentral:lncRNA from 1 species